GAGGAGUCAUCAGAGUUGGCGCAGCCCCUGCAGCUCGGCUUGGAUGGCGAUGGAGGCGAGGUGGAGGACUGUUUUGGUCCUGCAACAGAGGUGGCGUGGCAACCGAAUGCGGCGCUGUGCCGAAACUUUGACAAGGUACGUGGUGGUGCCCGAGGACUCUGCUUUGAUAUCCGGUGCAGUUGAAGCUCCUUUACAUCCAGUCCACGCAGCUCAAUUUACGACUGCAAGUGACAUGUGGAGUGCUGAGGAAAGAAAAGACGAGCGGAGGUUAACUCAACUUGAAGCAUCCAAGAGAGCUCUCGAGGGGAUCAACGAGCCGGGAGGAAUAUGUAAGCAUUGCGACGGUAGAGUGUCCGUUAUUUCCGGGCUGGAGCAAGCGGUGCAGCAGUUGAAGGACCGUUUACACACAUUCGAAGUGAAACACGACAACGUCUCGCAAAUGGGAAAGCAGGUGCAGGAAAUGGAAGAGACCAGCGAUGCGCUAGCCAGAGCUUGCCGUGAGGAGCAGAGGCAGAGGCAGAUGUGUAAAGCCUUGGAAAGCGAAGUAUGUGAUCUUCGGGCUCUGCUUCGUGCCGUGGAGCAAACCAGUGCUGAAGCGGAACUCAGGCACCUGAACACAGUCAGUGCCCUCGUAAAGGUGGUGUACACACGUGGAGCCUGUCACCCUCUUUGACUGCCUGGAGGAUGCAGGAGAAAGAGGGCCUACAUGAGGAGGUUGAAAACUUCCAGCACAAAUGUAAUGUGCUAGAUGCAAGCUUUGGCAAAGUGCAAGAGGAGCUUCUGGACGUGAGCACGAGGCUAGAGGAAUCACGAGCCAAGCUGGGAGAAGCCGUCUGUAAGAAUAACGACUCACAGGCCGAAGCAGCUAGCUACAGGUGGAGUUUUACUUGAUUUGUUCCAAUAUUUCAACGUUUUAGAGCAGAGUUGAACGAGAUGAACUCCAAAGAAAGCUAGAUUCGGCGAGAGGAGACAUGGCAGAGCUUGCGAAAUUCAGAGAACUGGAUCAUGUAAAUACCGUGGAACAAGUGAAAAGAAGCUGCGAGUCGUCGUGGCGGACGCAAGAGAACUCUUCUCAACAGAGGAUAUCCUCUUUGCGCCGCAAGAUACAUCAGCUGCAAGCG